rnacentral:rRNA from 1 species
AGCAGCCGCGGUAAUUCCAGCUCCAAUAGCGUAUAUUAAAGUUGUUGCAGUUAAGAAGCUCGUAGUUGAAUUUCGGGAUUGACACAUCGGUCGUGCCCUAAGGGGUAUGAACUGGUGUAGUCAAUUUCUCACCUUCUGGAGAACCGCGAUGCCCUUAAUUGGGUGUCACGGGGAACCAGGACCUUUACUUUGAAAAAAUUAGAGUGUUUAAAGCAGGCAUUUUGCUUGAAUACAUUAGCAUGGAAUAAUAAAAUAGGACGGCAUGAUUCUAUUUUGUUGGUUUCUAGGAUCACCGUAAUGAUUAAUAGGGAUAGUUGGGGGCAUUAGUAUUCAAUUGUCAGAGGUGAAAUUCUUGGAUUUAUUGAAGACUAACUACUGCGAAAGCAUUUGCCAAGGAUGUUUUCAUUAAUCAAGAACGAAAGUUAGGGGAUCGAAGACGAUCAGAUACCGUCGUAGUCUUAACCAUAAACUAUAGCCGACUAGGAAUCAGACGAUGUUAAUUUUUAAUAGUACUCGUUUG